UCUCCUGUAGCUCAGUGGUAGAGCGUCCGACCAUUGUGCGGAAGGUCAUAUAUUCAUUCUUUUUGGGAGAA